AUUGAACGCUGGCGGCAUGCUUUACACAUGCAAGUCGAACGGCAGCGCGGGCUUCGGCCUGGCGGCGAGUGGCGAACGGGUGAGUAAUACAUCUGAACGUGCCCAGUAGUGGGGGAUAGCUCGGCGAAAGCCGGAUUAAUACCGCAUACGACCUGAGGGUGAAAGCGGGGGAUCUUCGGACCUCGCGCUCUUGGAGCGGCCGAUGGCCGAUUAGCUAGUUGGUGGGGUAAAGGCCUACCAAGGCGACGAUCUGUAGCUGGUCUGAGAGGACGGCCAGCCACACUGGGACUGAGACACGGCCCAGACUCCUACGGGAGGCAGCAGUGGGGAAUUUUGGACAAUGGGCGAAAGCCUGAUCCAGCAAUGCCGCGUGUGUGAUGAAGGCCUUCGGGUUGUAAAGCACCUUUGGCGGGAACGAAAAGGACUGUGCCAAUACCACGGUUCGAUGACGGUACCCGCAGAAUAAGCACCGGCUAACUACGUG
rnacentral:rRNA from 1 species